UCAAAAGAAAAAAAAAAAAGAAAGGAAAAGGUCGAACAAGGUACACUUUAGGUACACUUUCUAGAAAGAUACUUUUCAUACCGCCCUCGCUAGCAUAGCUCGAAGAAAUUGGUGGAAUGCAGGAGAUCCAGAAGAUCAUCCGAUUGCACAGUUAUGUUAAAGCUUAAAGCUCAGCUUAGGCAUGCAAUAGGUACAGGCGAAUAGACUUUAUUCAUGUGAAAUCAUUCCCCUGCAUAGUUUCACUUACGGCACACGUAUAUAUAGAUUUUCGUGAUUUUCGCAAUCGCAGAGUGAAUGGUGAAGACACGUGGAGUUACAUAACUUCCAAUUUUUCACUAUUAUCUAAUCAUCCGCUGUUUAUAUGGAUUAAUAAAUCCGAAGAGUGGCGUUAGCUGAACUACCCGAGGGAAAAGUGAAAAUAAAGUGAAAUUCUUGAAAGAAGCAAAGGGAUAGGAGUACUGGAAAAUCUUAAUACAGCCAAGCCGGCCACCCAAUCUACGGUAACAACUACUAAAACAACCAAGCUGACCGUUUGGGAGUUAGCGCAGUGCACAUCCACGGCGACAAAGUGAAGGCUGAACCGUUGACGUUGGGCUAGCUCAAUAUCGGAAAUCAUUUACGGCUCGUGAAAGACCAACCACCAUACACCACUGCUGGACGUCCGAAUAUCAGUUUGAACCUGCCGAUCUCGUAAAAAAAAAGCCGGAGGACAUAAUCGUCACCAACCUACGAAAACUUACAAAGGAUUGAGUAAUUAGGCUAGCCUAAACCACAUUGCCUCAGAACCACUCUUGCUGUCAGCAGAUUUGUGUUUAUUUUGAUUCCCGUGUUUCUCAAAUUAAAUUUCAAGUGCAAGUUCCCGUUUGCCUUUAUCACUAUCACAUAAAAAUCUAUACGCUGCUGCUCUAAGAACCAGCUGAUUAGAUCCACAUAUUCAUAUCUCGUUUAUCAUUGUGUUGAUUAAUGUAGUAACUAAAUAGCUUCCUCCAAUGAGUAAAUUUGUAACGUAACUGACGAUUUU